AGUGAACGCUGGCGGUAGGCCUAACACAUGCAAGUCGAACGGCAGCACAGUAAGAGCUUGCUCUUACGGGUGGCGAGUGGCGGACGGGUGAGGAAUACAUCGGAAUCUACUUUUUCGUGGGGGAUAACGUAGGGAAACUUACGCUAAUACCGCAUACGGCCUACGGGUGAAAGCAGGGGAUCUUCGUACCUUGCGCGAUUGAAUGAGCCGAUGUCGGAUUAGCUAGUUGGCGGGGUAAAGGCCCACCAAGGCGACGAUCCGUAGCUGGUCUGAGAGGAUGAUCAGCCACACUGGAACUGAGACACGGUCCAGACUCCUACGGGAGGCAGCAGUGGGGAAUAUUGGACAAUGGGCGCAAGCCUGAUCCAGCCAUACCGCGUGGGUGAAGAAGGCCUUCGGGUUGUAAAGCCCUUUUGUUGGGAAAGAAAAGCAGCAGGUUAAUACCCCGCUGUUCUGACGGUACCCAAAGAAUAAGCACCGGCUAACUUCGUG
rnacentral:rRNA from 1 species